GAGGGGUAUAGAGAUACUUGUAUUUCUAGAGACCGGCGAACGGGUGCGUAACGCGUAUGCAACCUACCUUUAUCAGGGGGAUAGCCCAGAGAAAUUUGGAUUAAUACCGCAUAAUAAGAGUGAUGGCAUCAUCAUUUUUUGAAAGAUUUAUMGGAUAGAGAUGGGCAUGCGUAGGAUUAGCUAGUUGGUAAGGUAACGGCUUACCAAGGCGACGAUCCUUAGGGGCUCUGAGAGGAGUAACCCCCACACUGGUACUGAGAUACGGACCAGACUCUACGGGAGGCAGCAGUAGGGAAUAUUGGUCAAUGGACGAGAGUCUGAACCAGCCAUGCCGCGUGCAGGAAGACGGCCCUCUGGGUUGUAAACUGCUUUUAUAUGGGAAGAAAAGACUCUGCGGGAGGCAUUGACGGUACCAUAGGAAUAAGCCACGGCUAACUACGUGCCAGCAGCCGCGGUAAUACGUAGMUGGCGAGCGUUAUCCGGAUUUAUUGGGUUUAAAGGGUGCGCKGGCGGCCUGUUAAGUCGGUGGUUAAAGGUAGCAGCUUAACUGUUUUACAUGCCAUCGAUACUGACAGGCMUGAGUUAUCAGAAGGCAGGCGGAAUUCUGGUGUAGCGGUGAAAUGCAUAGAUACCAGAAGGAACACUAUUGCGAAGGAGCUUGCUG
rnacentral:rRNA from 1 species